UCUCCCUUGGGCGACAGAAGAGAUUCACCGUGACCUUGUAAAUCUCCACAUUUCUGCCAAUCCCCACUCGGGCUUCCAUUCCUAUCUUUUCCUUUUUUUUCCUUUGGUACUGGGGAUCAAACUCGGGACCUUGUGCUUAUGAGGCAGGCACCGGAACCACUGAGCUAAAUCCCGGGCAAGCCUUUUAUCUUUCUGGUACCGGGGAUCAAACUCGGGACCUUGCAUUUGCAAGGCAGGCAUGGCGCCACUGAGCGAACUCCCGGCCUGGCUUCUAGAAUCUUGUAGAACCUCCAGAAGAGCCCGGGACUUUCCAGGAACCUCUAGAAAUUUCCAGACUCUUAUAGAACCCUUCGCACUGAGCCCCAUGUCCAGCCCCUGUUGCUGUUUUUAUUUUGAGCCAGGGCCUUGCCAUGUGGCUGAGUUGCCCGGGCCAGGUUGGAACAUGAGAUCCUCCCGCCUCAGCCUCUCAGAGUGCUGGCGUGACAGGCGUGCGCCACGUGGGCUGAGGCAGGGCGGUUCCGUGGUCUUCCAGGCGCUGGACGAAGACACGUAUUUCUGCUCCUUCCCCAACUCGGUCCUGCACCGCGGGGCCGUCUUCGAGGUCCACGCCGCCAUGGGCAACGCCACCUUCCAGGAGACCCUGCGCUUCGACAACCCAGGCAGGCCCCGGGGCCGGCGCCGCCAACCUGUCCUGCAUCAUCUAUGACGUGCACGCCAUGAACUGCAGCUGGGCGCCGGGCCAAACAGCCCCCGUGGACACCGUCUACCAGCUGUUCUGGUUCGACCCGAACGACGCCGAGGCCGAAUGCCUCCACUACUCCCUGGACUCAAAGGGGCUGCGCGUGGGCUGCCAUUUCACCCAGCUCGGCCGGGAGCCCAAGACGUUGGGUAAUUCCUUCUUCCUGGUCCACGGCACCAGCGGCGAGGCGACCAUCCCGUUCCUGGACGCGCCGCCCUUUGUGGCCUUUCUGAUCGGUGAGACCAUCGCUGCCUGCUUCAGCCUCUCCUGCUUCCGCCCCGGGGCAGUGUGCGGUGGAAAAUCCCCACGGGGACAGGAGGAGAGGCCACCGGUCUCCCUGGGGUCCCACGAGGGGCAGGAAGAUCAGCCGGGCGCGGUGGGCACGCCUGUGAUCCCAGCACUCGCGAGGCUGAGGCAGGAGGAUCUCCCCGAAUUGGAAGCCAGCCUGGGCCACGUCGUGAGCUCAAGGCCCGGGUGGGCUGCACAGCGAGCGAGAUUCUGCCUCGGAACGGCCGAGGAAGCCAGCCUGGGGCCGGGGGUCCUGGGAGCUGGGUCAUUUCCGUCUCCGCGGCCGCGGCCGCUUCCGCCUGUUCGUGUUCCGGUUUGUGCGGGGGACAGAGAAGUAGAGCCCUCCCGCCAACGGCUCGGUCGGCCCCGCGGGCCCGGGCCUCGUCGUGUGCUGGCUGGGACAACCCGGCGCGGAGGUUCGAGCAGAGCCCGAGCACCCUGUACUGCGAGCUGGACGUCCGCAGGCGGGGCGCCGAGGCCGAGGCACCGCCCGUGAGUGCCCGCGCCCCGCCCGGCUGCCGCCCUGGGGGUCCUCGCUCGGCUCCCGGAGCCCCUCCUGCCUCAGCCUCCCGGGGAGCUGGGUCCCAGGCGCGCGCCUCCGCACCCGGCUCCUUCUCAUGAGGAGACUUUCCUGUGGCUCUUGGGGUUCCCAGCCCGAGUCCUGCGCGCUGGGGCGCACCCGGCCCUGCGAUCAAUCGCUGGGUCACCCCGGGACCGAGCACCCAGCUGGCCCGGGCCGCUCCUGUCCCGGCUCCCGUUCCCGGGCGUCUGCGGGAGGUGGGGUUGGGGCUGAAGGUCCCCGCAGGUGCAGGGACCAGAAACGCAGCGGGGGGCAGCCCGUGCCGGCACCCAGCGCUCGGGUUGCACGCCGGGUGCUGGGAGCUAAGUCCUCCGCGCAGGUUUUCCAGCGGGGCCGGGAGCGGAACGCGCAUGCGCUGGUGGCGGGGGGCUCGGUGCGCGUGCGCGUACGCCACGUGCGCGGGGCGGUGUGGAGCGACUGGAGCCCGGCGCGCGGCGUCGGUGAGCAUACGCAUGCGCCCGGGGUCCCCAGCCCGAGCCGAGGCCUAGCUGAGCCGAGCCGAAUCGAACCGAGCCGAGCCCGAGCCGAGCCGAGCUGAGCCGAGGCGUAGGCCUGACCUGCGAGUUCCGCAGCCGCCGGGGCCGGGAAAGCUCCCGACCGACCGCGCUCCGAAUGGGGCCGGACUGCGGCCCUUGCUGACCCCCACCCCCUCCAGGCCCGGACCAGGCCUACGGCAGCCUCACCCUGGCCCAGGUGCUGGCCCUGGUGGCGGCGGUGGCGGUGGCCGUGUGCACCGCGGCGCUCACGGUCGUCUGCAAAAGGUACGGGCUGCAGCAGCAGCUC